GUGCUGCUCUGGCAGAGACUUGAUCAGAAAGGUCCUGUCUCAGGGUGAGGUUCCUCCCUAUACUCAGGAGGUGCUGACCCCUGCUACUUUCCCCAGUUCACGAAACUCAGUUGCCUAAUUUGGAGUAGUGGGAGGCUGUGUUCACCCU
rnacentral:snRNA from 1 species